CCUACGGGUGGCAGCAGUGAGGAAUAUUGGUCAAUGGGCGCGAGCCUGAACCAGCCAAGUAGCGUGAAGGAUGAAUGCCCUCCGGGUUGUAAACUUCUUUUAUAAAGGAAUAAAGUGCGGCACGUGUGCCUUUUUGUCUGUCCUUUAUGAAUCCAGAUCGGCUAAAUCCGUGCCAGCAGCCGCGGUAAUACGGAGGAUCCGAGCGUUAUCCGGAUUUAUUGGGUUUAAAGGGAGCGUAGAUGGGUUGUUAAGUCAGUUGGGAAAGUUUGCGGCUCAACCGUAAAAUUGCAAUUGAUACUGGCAACCUUGAGUACAGUUGGGGUAGGCGGAAUUCGUGGUGUAGCGGUGAAAUGCUUAGAUAUCACGAAGAACUCCGAUUGCGAAGGCAGCUUACUAAACUGCCACUGACAUUGAGGCUCGAAAGUGUGGGGAUCAAACAGGAUUAGAUACCCGGGUAGUC
rnacentral:rRNA from 1 species